rnacentral:rRNA from 1 species
CCCCUACGGGAGGCAGCAGUGAGGAAUAUUGGUCAAUGGGCGAAAGCCUGAACCAGCCAUGCCGCGUGCCGGAAGAAGGCCCUACGGGCUGUAAACGGCUUUUGGCGGGGAGGAAUGAGGGCCACGCGUGGCCCGAUGCCGCGUACCCGCCGAAUAAGGAUCGGCUAACUCCGUGCCAGCAGCCGCGGUAAUGGGG